rnacentral:rRNA from 1 species
AUGCAAGCCGAGCGGUAGAGUUYCUUCGGGAAACUUGAGAGCGGCGUACGGGUGCGUAACACGUGUGCAACCUACCUUUAUCUGGGGGAUAGCCUUUCGAAAGGAAGAUUAAUACCCCAUAAUAUAAUGAUUGGCAUCAAUUAUUAUUGAAAACUCCGGUGGAUAGAGAUGGGCACGCGCAAGAUUAGAUAGUUGGUGAGGUAACGGCUCACCAAGUCAAUGAUCUUUAGGGGUCCUGAGAGGGAGAUCCCCCACACUGGUACUGAGACACGGACCAGACUCCUACGGGAGGCAGCAGUGAGGAAUAUUGGACAAUGGGUGAGAGCCUGAUCCAGCCAUCCCGCGUGAAGGAAGACGGUCCUAUGGAUUGUAAACUUCUUUUGUACAGGGAUAAACCUACUCUCGUGAGGGUAGCUGAAGGUACUGUACGAAUAAGCACCGGCUAACUCCGUGCCAGCAGCCGCGGUAAUACGGAGGGUGCAAGCGUUAUCCGGGAUUUAUUGGGUUUAAAGGGUCCGU